rnacentral:rRNA from 1 species
GAUGAACGCUAGCUACAGGCUUAACACAUGCAAGUCGAGGGGAAACGACAUCGAAAGCUUGCUUUUGAUGGGCGUCGACCGGCGCACGGGUGAGUAACGCGUAUCCAACCUGCCCACCACUUGGGGAUAACCUUGCGAAAGUAAGACUAAUACCCAAUGACGUCUCUAGAAGACAUCUGAAAGAGAUUAAAGAUUUAUCGGUGAUGGAUGGGGAUGCGUCUGAUUAGCUUGUUGGCGGGGUAACGGCCCACCAAGGCGACGAUCAGUAGGGGUUCUGAGAGGAAGGUCCCCCACAUUGGAACUGAGACACGGUCCAAACUCCUACGGGAGGCAGCAGUGAGGAAUAUUGGUCAAUGGACGAGAGUCUGAACCAGCCAAGUAGCGUGCAGGAGGACGGCCCUAUGGGUUGUAAACUGCUUUUAUAAGGGAAUAAAGUGAGUCUCGUGAGACUUUUUGCAUGUACCUUAUGAAUAAGGACCGGCUAAUUCCGUG